AGACGUGCGGCGCCGUUGUCGCCGUUCUGUGCGCGAGUGCCGUUGCGCGACGCGCGGCCUCGAAGCAACGCCCCAGCGCGGUACCGCCCCGCGGCCGGGCGGUGUAAGCGGGGCCUCGAGCGGAGGGGACUUGCGCUGGUUGGUCGCGUUAGCGGUCAAACAGAAGUUAAAGCUAUUAAAGAGGGCAUUAUCCGAAUGCCUCAUGGACGGACAUGGAGCAGCAGCCACCUCGCUAGGAAGUCUCUGUCAGUGUUUGACCGCUCUCACUGUUGAGAAGUUUCUCGUAAUGCCAUGUCUGAACCUCCCCUAUAAAUAUGGAUAAAUAUGGGUAUGUUAUAAAUUGAAAAAUACAGGAAGAAAAACUGCUUUAGCUGUUUGAUUUGGAGAAGGAACUUUUGUUUCCCGUAUGCAUUCCACUGCAGGACACCACUGCAAGUUCCUUUGCACAUAAUUCGGAACUAAUAAAAGCCAAACUGAUUUUUACAGAAGGGCCGUGAUGGGGGAGUUCUUUUUUUCUUCCAUACCCGCAGAUAACCAGUUCGGAUUUAUAUAAAGACAAAAAAUGGUUUGAACUCAGGCUCUCCUUCAGCGUGCCUCAGUGGGUAUGAGUUUCCUUGCAGCAGCAGGAGGAAAAAAGUCACCGUUGUGCGGAACUUCUUUUUUUUUUUUUUCGAUUAUUCAAAAGCCUCCUUAAUAAUACAGAACAGCUGAGGGGAUUCGUGUGAUUUUAUUCCCUGUCGAAGUCGCUGAGCAAUUACAUCCAGCCACAGGGCUGUGCUUGCGCUGCUGCCGGUUGUUGCUGGGUUCUCUCUGAUGCUUUGGAAGCUGUGCCCUCCCCAGCCUAACAUGCAGGCCUAUCGUUGGACAAAUCGAGGCUCCUUUGUUCUGAUGUUAAGCGCUAAGCCCUGACAACAGAGAACAAAAGGUCCAAGAACAGCUUGUGCUAAAGGCAAAACUUUCCUUUGCUUCGUCGUAAUUCUUCCUUGUUGGCUCUGAGAACCUUGGAGGAUCUUGGUAGCUGCCUCCUAGCGAGAGCAGAAAAUGUUGCAGUGCAAGGGCAAGACCUGAGGCUAUUUCUUUGGGUAUUAUUUCUGCUUAAGAAGACGUGUUCCUUAAAUGACCAGUUGACAAAGCAGAGUGAAAAUGGACAUCUGAACAACUUUUAGGUGCAGAAUGAUACAUCACAGGAUUGAUACGUUCUCAGCUUUGCUCCGGGGCCUGAGGAGAAGGAUGAUAUUCUCAUGCUCCAUAGGGAGCACGUCCCUCUCACUGGGAGCUGGCAGGACAAGCCCUGAGCAUUGCCUGGAAGCUGAGCCCCAGCCCCAGCCCAACCCGGAGCCUCUGGCAGUGGCGGGCAGGAACCUCACCAAGAUGCACGCGCAGACUGGGACGUGAAUGCAGAGUGCUGCCUCCCUUCCAGAAGGACACACGGGUGCAUCAUCUGUAUGUAAAUUAAACUUACAUCCAAGCUGCUGUCCUUAACUGCUGUAGUCCAAGUUACAAACUGAAUAAUUUAGACAUCUUAAAAGAUGUCGGUGUUAGUGGGUUGCUGAGGUCAUAGGGAAGGUGCUUCUUUGCUUACCUCCCUUGCCUCUGCAGAAACCAGCACUGGUUGCUUUCAAGAGAGCAGCCAGUCUGAAGUUCAUUCACUUCCCUUAAGCUUUCUGUAGAUAGGUUCCUUCUUCCAAAAGAAAUCGGACUGCCUUCCCUACCAUCCUUCCUCCCUUUAGAAGAAGGCUGCCUUGGUCUCUUCCUGACUAUUCAGGACUGUCAGUUGUACACCUCCACAUUGGUCUCUUGCCCUCCUGUUGACACUCAGUGAUUUGCCAAGGGAUUAAUUUUUAGAAAAGACAGGUAACAUACAGCAUUAUUGUUUAUACUUGUCAGCUGAGACGCAAGUUCUUAUUUCUGACACAAAUUUUGAGCAGCUCAAUGGAUCUGAGUUGCAGGAUUCACUUCAAAUGUAGUCAGCUGAUGUCAGGUGAGAGUAUGUUGACUGAACUUAAAACUGAUUAAACUUUACUAUGGCACAGCCAGCAUGGGAAGCCCACCUUUGUUCUUGGGAGAGAGGGAGCACUUGAGAGUUAUCAGAGUUAUUUCAAAGCAAUGGGUUCAAAAUGAAGAACUAUAAACUGGUUUUAUAAAAUAAUAGCAUCUUUGAAUACCACCAAAUAGGGAAAGCAGUAGUGAGGAAGUAGGUACACCACUGGUAGGUAAAAAUAUAGAACUUUUUAAGAAUAUCUGAACAUUCCCUAUGAUUGGGCAGGAAAACAUCCUACUGCUUUUAGCAGCACGUUCUGAUCAAAGCAGCUGUUCAAAUGUCAGGAUCCCCUAAGAUCUGACAAUUGGGAAGAAAACCAGACGUGGAUUCAAUCAUAUAUCUUUUACGCAAUUAGACUUACAGGAAUGUACAAAUCCUGCUUCUGUGACUACAAAAAAUAAUCAAACAACCUGACAGCUUCUUCACUUACUCUUUCAAGACUUUUUCUGCCAGAAUCUUAAUCCAAGAGUCACCUCCAGGCUUCCCACAAGCUUGCACAGCAGAGUUGCAUAGACUGCCGAAGAAGCUGCUUUUUCUCUCUUUCAGUGUGUGGUCUCACUCCUCCUCUCCCCAAGCCACAUCACACACGCAAACAGGCACAGCAAUGUGUGUGCACACACAGACACACACUUUUUCAGGAACCUCAUGCAGCCAAAGUAUCUCUGUUCAUACUGUUCAAAUUCCUGAGCAGCUAUGUCUUGCCUUUAUUUUGUGCUGAGAUCCUAAGAAUUUAAGAGUCCUGGGGACUCUUAAAAGUAGUAAAAGUACAACCUUGAUCCAGAGACUGUAGUGUUAGGUGUCAUUGUCCCUAAAAGUGGGCAGAUAUGGGCCCUCAGAUGAUUUUUCUUCUCUCCAAUGAAUGUGCAGUGGGAAAUAGACUCUUCUCUUUUCCAUUGGAGUGUUGUAAGGAAGGGGGCAAUCUCCUUGCUCAUCCUAAGUGAAGGGGCAUGAUUCCCUCUCAAGCUCCAGGCCCAACCCUGCAGCUCAGCUCCUUGCUUACAAACAGAACAUGUGAUGUGUGUGGCCUCACCUCUCACAUACGGUUUGUGAAAAGCCAUAGGCAAAGAAGUAUGAAGAGCUAGAUAAAAACAAAGCUAAAUUCCCAGACUGGGUUACUUCCAAACAGGUAUAGUAUCUACAUUUAGCUGUCUAAUUUCUGAUCUCCUAGUACUUCUAAGAUUCAAUACUCUGAGAUAGUAGUUUUUUUCUGGAUCUCGUUCUUAAAAUUCUUGCCUAUAUGCAGCUAAAGAUUAGACCGUUAUUUAUAAUGCCUUUGGUUCUGAUAUUCUUUUUCAGUCAGACUUGAGCAGUUUACCCAGAGAUAUGAAUCUUCAUGUUUCCAUUGUGAAUGGAUCUGCACUGGACCCUGAAGGUGUGAACCCCUGGCACAUAGCUCUGGUAGGCUUGUACUCUUAGAUAAUUUUAGGUACGUAGGGGUGCCAAAGAGUACUUGGGUUUGGAGUGCAAGACUGCUUGUAUGAACAGUAAAUACCACAUGAACUUUCACUGGUACAAAACACCUCUGUUAAAAGAGACUGUGCAUGAAACAUUUUUUUCAAACAUCUCCUUUACUGGAAAAAGAAAUUUUGUUAACAACAGGAGUUUCACUCUUCUCUUUUCUUAUUUUUACUAUUAAAGCUUCCAUAUACCCCUGUUCCCUAUUUUCCAUUUGUGGAACUCAGCAGUAGUGAUUUUGUUCCCAGAGACAACACUACACAGACUUGCUUAAGUUGGAGCUAAGUGGAGAGACAAAAAGAAAACCCAACUAUAUCCCAUUCAAAUCCUGGUUUCUUUACACUUUACAGGCACAAGUUUCUUGGGUAGGAAAGGAAAUAGAGAGUUCUUCUCUUCCUGUUUGCUUGCAUUCUUUGUUAAUCCAUCACCGCUCCACCACCUCUCCCAUUCAGAGCAGUAAUGUGGUGGUGUCUCUGAGGAGUCUGAGAGCAGUUGCAUCACUGCAGAGAGCAAUGAGUUGCACUACGUGUGGCAGAAAUGGGAUACAGGAACUGAUGGAAGGAAGGAGAGGAGCUGAGCCUCUCCUGACCAGCACAGUUGUGCAGAGCUGGGGGUCAGCCAGUGACCAUGUCCAGACCAUCCCAGUGUAGGCUGUGGCCUGAGUGAUGGGAAUAGAAGGGAGACUAGUCCUCUUUCCCUUGCACUAUGUCUUCCCAAGAUGCUGUUUUGUUUUAAAGGUGUAAAAUGGCCUUCAAGUAGUGAUAAAAUUAUGCUUGAGAGAGAAUAUUCCAUAUUAACUAAACACUGAUUUGGGUUUUUUGCAGAUGAAAUGUAGAAUUCAGUUUGGAAAUGUGCCGUGCAAGUUCCUGGAGAUCUCAAGUACUGGAGAGUUAGUUACUUCUCCUGACUGAAAUUCACCCUGCAGACUAGUGUGAAAAGCUUUAAACAUCAAUACAUAUUGCCUUAUAAGGUAUUUUUUUAAAAUCCAAAACAACGAAUGUAGCUUUUCAAUCACUCUAGCAAGUAAUGACCACACAAUGGUAAUGAAAGGCAUUUGAGGAUUAAAAUGUGAGUGACCAUUACAUCUAUUUUUAGUCAGUAUAUUUACAGUAUUGAAUAACUGACUUCCCUCAUGUGCAUUGUGUCCUGAUUUCUGGGCCAUCCACACUGCUAAAUGAUAGUUUGUUCCCAGCAGCUUCUUAAUUCCUUCAAAAAAAACCUGAAAUGUACUGUUGGGUCUUGUGGUGCCAACUGAAAACCCAGGGCAAAUGUUAUGUGCUGCACGCGCCAUAAAUCUAGUCAGGAAUGAGUCUGCUCUCAUCUCCAAAGAAACUGAUGAAAAACCAUGCUGGUGCUGGUGCAGGGUAUGAGCACGACACUAACUGGUGUUUGAAAGUGCAGACAAAAGACAGAGGGGCAAGAUAGCAUGUACAUUGUGGUGAUAUACAGUUGUCUGUCAUCCAUCAGAAAAGAUUUUCUGAGAACAGUACUACAGGGUCAUGUUUUCAUUGGGUGAAAUGAGCAGUUAGAUUUCUGUUUAUUUGGAUACCCUGAUACUUCGAUGAGAUACUAGAAACCGCAGGAAAUUAAAAUGAGCAAUAUGCUUAGAAUAAGCACUGUCUAUUUGCAAGUCCUCCUACCAGUUUCUCCCCAAGAUAUUGAGAGAAGAAGCUGUACAGGUGGCCAAGAGGGGCACUGAGUUUUGGCUGUAUGCUGCACAUGAGGCCCUGUCUUGGAGAAGGCAGAGACAACAGAGCAAUUGUUUAAACUAUUUAAAGGGAGCGAGAUGAUGUUCAAAGGUCUCAUUAAAUUCCAGGCUUAAAAGUACAGUGGGUAGAAAAGCCAUUUUGCUGGUAAAUGUGUCCACAUUUUUUUGCAGGCUCAUACAAAUGAAAUGUAAGUCCUAAACUUUGGAAACUUGUCACUACCCAAUGCAGACAGGAUGUACUGACACACAAGCAAGGAACUCCACAUGCAAGAAAAAAUGCAAUAGCAAGAGAGAAAACUGGAAUACUUAAGAAAAUGGUAAUUUUAGGUAAAAGAAAACCAAUUAAAUGCAAGUAAGUUGUCUUUAGGGGACUGGAGAGUUAACCCAUUUACAGACAAUGUGCCAUUUUCAAAAAUAAAUUUUCUCACACAUGAGAGCAUUGAGUUGUGGAGAAGAUUAAUCUCUUAUCUAUGUUGUGUUUGUUUUGAAAAUUCAGAGCUGUAUGAGACUAACAGAAUGAUUUCCCAGUAGCUCUGAAAUACUCUAACAUGUCUUCUAGAGUUCCUACAUGAACUUCUUUGGAGUCUCUGGGAUAACUUCAUAAAUUCUACAACAGAAUUGACGUUUGCAUUUGCUAGGAUAGAAGAUGUUGAUACGACUCAUUUUUUAGGAUCAUUACUAGAUGUAGCAAAUAAAGAGGAAAUACUAGAGAAAGAAUCAACCUUAAAUACUACUCACAGCAACUUAUUACGAGGUCCUAUCUAUGACAUGGAAAAAAUGGCCUCUUUCUUACUGCUAGUGAUUUCACAUCCAUAAUGAAACAGUAAAAUAGCCAAAUUUGUUGCUGUUGCAAGGCAGCUUCCAAGAAUGCUGUAGUUAGCAACCAGAGACUGAAACUAUGCCAGAAAAAAUGGAUGAAGCAUAUGCAUUUUGGUAAAAGAAGACAAUACUUCUCAGUGUGUUCCCAAAGUCCUUUAAUAAUUUUUAAGGCUGAAAAUGGAAUAGCUAAUUUCUGCCAGAAAUUUGCUUGUGGUAAAGAUUCAUGGAGCUCACUCCUGAAAACUGGUGGAAAACUGAAGAUGUAAGAUAAGACGUAAGCUCAAAAUGCUUUCAGCAAAACUGAGUUCUUGUAAAACAUGUUCACAUUUGCAUUUAGCAUCUUUUGGCUGAUUUCACAGAAUCAUAGAAUCAUAGAAUGGCUUGGGUUGGGAGACACCUCAAAGAUCAUCUAGUUCCAACCCCCCUGCUGUGGGCAGGGUUGCCAUCCACUAGAUCAGACUGUCCAGUUUUGAUUUGGUCAAAACUUCCUCCUAGUUCAGUGCAGGGAAGCAAGAGAAUAAUGGAUGAGAGUCAAUAUCAUCCGAAGUUGCAUAUUGGCAAGUUCUAAAUUGUUAGUGGAACAGGAGACCCUGGUGUGUUCUAUUAUAAUGGAGCAGUGCAAAACUUUCAUAUCUUGAAUGAUUGUGUGAUUUAAUAUGCUUAGAGUUAUAAAGCAUGUACUCAGGUGUUCCAUCAAUGCAUUUCUCACUGUCCAUUUCUUUGGUAGGAAAAAAAUUGAAGUACACAUCUGGGCAGGAAAGUAACAACUCUGAUAUUGCUAAAUUCAUCCUUGUAUCCCUAAAAAUGAUGACAGUAAGAACAUUUAUAUGUAUUCAUGAUACCUUCUUGCCUCUUGGAGCAGUCCUCAGAGACAUAAUUCACAAUGAAAAGGCGUUCUUUAAAAAGUAAAUAACAAAAUAUUUGAAAACCAUAAAGCCAUUAUGGAGCUUAAAUGGUCUACUUACUUCUCCUGUACAAAUUCUCUACUAGUUUGUUCAUAAUGCUGGAGGAUGUUUCUGGAUUCCAGGGGCAUGACUGGGUAAACAAAUAGCUAGCACUUACAUAGGGUUAACAGGGCUACUGGAACCCAGGAAGAAUAUCUUGGGAAGAAGAUAAUGAAUUGCCUGUGAGACAUGAACCAGUAAAGUAGCUGAAUGGAACAUCAGCUGAAUCUGUUCUUUCCCUGUGAUUACCGACAAAUUAAAGUGUUCUGUAUACCUAUA